CGUGUUGCCUCCACGUUUCGAAUUCCCUGCAUGACAGUUCUCCUUUGCUGUUCAACCACCGACUGGGCUAGUACCCAAACACGCUGAACAAAGGAAUUUCGUCAACGCCGACAUCAACCCAAAUUCCUGGUCAUGCUACGAUUUCUUUCUUUGUUGCGGAACACACUAACCUCGCUGUCACACCGCUUCUGGUGGCGUGCUGUGCAUACUGAAAGCAGCAUAUCAUACCAUUACUGCUGGGCUCUAGGCUACUUGAAACAGCCCCUGAGACGAGUCAAGUGACAGGCGUGCGUAACGGACAAAUGACAAUUUUACUACGCUGGAACAAGCGGCGAUAAGUGUCAGGUUGUCUCGAACCGUAAACAGGCUGUUACAGAUAUUGAAUCUCGGGGAGACUGUGUUGUUGUUGUUUUCUUACUUGGGCGUCAUGGCGGCUGCCUUUUAGAUGAUCCUGCUGAAAUGCCUCAGCUAUGACUGAUGUGGAGUCAGCGACAUCCUAUGAAGACUUCAGAGCCUCAGGGAGGGCAGGAAGGAGGAAUGCCAUUCACGGAAUCUUGGGAUCCCCAGGCGACCUUGAGGGAACCGAGUUGUCCGAGGCCCUAGCCGAGGUCAACAUCAGUAAAGCUGGUAAUGAUGAGGAAGGAGAGCAAGGUCAGGAUUCCUCCUCGUCCCCUGCGAAAUCAGAGGAGGCCAAAGAGGAAGGCACCUAACUGAGAGCCGACUCCCUGACACCAUCUGCUGGAGGAAGGACGUCACUCAUCCACAUCCCUCCUCUCUCUCUCUCUCUCUUUCUCUCUCUCUCUCUCUCUCUCUCUCUCUUCAUGCUGACCUCUCUUCCUUUUUGAUAUGUCUCACCUUGACCCCUCCGGUCUCUACCGUUCGCCCAUGGCUGCUGCUGCACUGGGGAGACCUCUGAUGGACAUGAUCCUCCUUCAGGCUACACGCAGCACAGGGGAAGGGCCGUGGGCAAUGCCUCGCCCGGAUCCUCCAGACAUGGUGGAUCCUCCAGACAUGAGACACCGGUGGCAGCCUCACCUGUUUGGCAAUGACUGAUUUCAGAGGACACCUCGUGCCACCACCACCACCUAUGUCACCGUCCCUGCUGAUGGUGACGUGACCUCAGCCAGUGAGCUGCUGCUGUCCCACCUCAGUCAGUCCUGUAGCUGAAACGUUAAGUUGAGUUGAGCUGAGUUGAGUAGGAACAACUGCCUUAGGUACCCUGCUUUUGGCACCUCGAGGGAUUGAACAGAUACCACCCUGUACCCGAGCCCGUGCCACUGUUCUGCAUCCACCCCUUAGGGAUGCUGGAUCUCCCCCUAAGUGGGGGAGAAGGCAGAGUGGGUAGAUGUGUAGGACGUGAUGGUUAAGUCAAUCACACAGACUCUUUGACCUGACCCACACCUGUGCUGAGACAGUGAUUCUGGAUCGAUAGGAUUCAAACUGCCAAAGUUUGGUGUUGUUUCAUUUUCACAGGUGCGUAACACUCAACAGCUUAGUAGACGUGAUGUGAUGUGUACAAAGUAGUUCAACCCUCUGCUGUUUACCAAUGCAUAUUUAUACCUGUAACUCUGAAGCGAAAACCACUUUUGUACUCUUAGGUGUAAGUAUCUUAACUGUAUUUAUUAUAACUUGAUGCUGCCAUGGUAGACUGUAGUAGUAUUUGCACAGUGUAGUGUGUGUCUUGCCCACCCAUACUGAGAAAUUCAACCAACAUGCAUGCACUGUAAUAAUUCAAAAUCAGUUGAUAAUAAAGGAUUAUCAUUAUUAUCAAUUAUAUAACAUAAUUCACAAUGAAGGUUGCAUUGAUGUGCACUACAACUGUUUUUUGUAUGGAAGAGCUGUUACUGCCACUUGGAAGUUGUGGGAUGGUGUAAACAAUAGAGUAUGCUACCUUUGGAGCGAGAGUGGAGAGAGUGUGAUCUGAGAUGCUUGUUGAAGGGAUUGUUCAGGUGUCGAAGCCUGUCUGAGCCUGCCAUUUGAUGGUUGAGGUGUUUUUUGGUUUUGUGCGGAUGAAGGUACUAAAGUUACUUACUCCUCAAUCAUGCUCCUGCAGAAGCAGACGCUUUGUGGCCAGUGUGUUGUAUGUUUUUCUUCACCCUGUGUACAAAGUAAAUAAAAUGCUUAAAGCCUUGAGAAUAACUCCUAUAGUGUAUGUUCUGUAUGUUCUGUUAUAUGAUGCAGGGGUUUUUUUUGACAAUGGAAAUAGAAUUAAAUUCUUACAUUUCACAAAAG